GACGAACGCUGGCGGCGUGCUUAACACAUGCAAGUCGAACGGAAAGGCCCUGCUUUUGUGGGGUGCUCGAGUGGCGAACGGGUGAGUAACACGUGAGUAACCUGCCCUUGACUUUGGGAUAACUUCAGGAAACUGGGGCUAAUACCGGAUAGGAGCUCCUGCUGCAUGGUGGGGGUUGGAAAGUUUCGGCGGUUGGGGAUGGACUCGCGGCUUAUCAGCUUGUUGGUGGGGUAGUGGCUUACCAAGGCUUUGACGGGUAGCCGGCCUGAGAGGGUGACCGGCCACAUUGAGACUGAGAUACGGCCCAGACUCAUACGGGAGGCAGCAGUGGGGAAUAUUGCACAAUGGGCGGAAGCCUGAUGCAGCAACGCCGCGUGCGGGAUGACGGCCUUCGGGUUGUAAACCGCUUUCGCCUGUGACGAAGCGUGAGUGACGGUAAUGGGUAAAGAAGCACCGGCUAACUACGUG
rnacentral:rRNA from 1 species